rnacentral:rRNA from 1 species
UACGGAGGGUGCAAGCGUUAUCCGGAUUCACUGGGUUUAAAGGGCGCGUAGGCGGGCUAUCAAGUCCGGGGUGAAAUCCUCCCGCUCAACGGGAGAACUGCCUCGGAUACUGAUGGCCUCGAGGGGGAUAGGGGCACACGGAACUGUGGGUGGAGCGGUGAAAUGCGUUGAUAUCCAUAGGAACUCCGGUGGCGAAAGCGGUGUGCUGGAUCCCUUCUGACGCUGAGGCGCGAAAGCCAGGGGAGCGAACGGG